CUCACAAAUAUUGAUUUAACACUCAGUAUUUUUGAACCUCAAAGAAUCUCUUCUCUGAAUAACCACGAAAACUCACAGAUAAUGAUUAGUUGGUAAAAUGUAUCUAUUAAUAAAAAAUAUAAUCCCGCCUUACCAAACUCUAAAUAAAAAAAUCUUUUAAAUAGGAAGUAGAAAUGAAACAAAGAAUUUUGAGUACUGAAAAGAGACUGGUUUUUAAACACAGACUGUGAAAAAAAUAGGAAGAUAACUUAGUGAGUCUUCCACAUGCCAUAUUAGUGGCCUCAUAAUUAUUCAGACCACAGUUUGUAUUAAAGAGGUCUUGCCUUCUAAGGCUAGGAUUCAGUCUCACAUAGCUUUCCUAUUUCCAGGAAAUCUUUAUAUUUUUACAUAAUGACAUUCACAAUUGCUAAUCAUUCACUAGACAUUAUUUUUAAUAAUGAAGAACAAAUGUUUUUUCUCCUUGACCUCAUAGGAGAUCAUCACACUCAUAAUCUUUCUGAAUAUUCAGAUUGUAGAGGAAAUGCAGUUCACUAAAAUCAUGGUACUAAGAAUUCCUCUUUACCAAAUUAUGUUAAAAUACUGAACUUCUGAUCAGAAGACAUUUUGUUUUAAAAAUAACUUGUUUUGAUACUAACAGUACAACUAAUAAGUAAAACUACCCUUUUCUAUAUAUCACAAUCAAUAGCCACAUUUCAUUCCCAGCUACCAAAAGUCUUGGGCCACUUUUGAAUGCUUAAAGCAUGUCAUUUAUCCUUCUAAUCAAAAUGGUGCUGAAUUAUUUCAACUUGAAUGUAAAAUGUGUUGUCUUAGCUCACAGGAUAUAAACAUUUAAUAUAUAACUGCUUGCUAUGAACUACGUAACAUGUGAUUUGGUAUUGUAAUGUUUUUAAUGACGUUUUAGUUUCUUCCAAAUUUUUCAGGAAUACUAGUUGUAAAACAUUUUUAACUUUUUUUUUGAAGAGCUCUUAUUUUAAAUGCCCAGACACUGGCUUUAUAAUCUUCUUUACACUCGCACAUUCUUUUAUUAUAUGCCUAUACUAUGAUUGCAAGAUUAUGUAAAAAUGCCUUGAAUAAAUGAUUUCAAGUG
rnacentral:lncRNA from 1 species